rnacentral:rRNA from 1 species
UGAACGCUGGCGGCGUGCCUAAUACAUGCAAGUCGAGCGAACGGACGAGAAGCUUGCUUCUCUGAUGUUAGCGGCGGACGGGUGAGUAACACGUGGAUAACCUACCUAUAAGACUGGGAUAACUUCGGGAAACCGGAGCUAAUACCGGAUGAUAUUUUGAACCGCAUGGUUCAAAAGUGAAAGACGGUCUUGCUGUCACUUAUAGAUGGAUCCGCGCUGCAUUAGCUAGUUGGUAAGGUAACGGCUUACCAAGGCAACGAUGCAUAGCCGACCUGAGAGGGUGAUCGGCCACACUGGAACUGAGACACGGUCCAGACUCCUACGGGAGGCAGCAGUAGGGAAUCUUCCGCAAUGGGCGAAAGCCUGACGGAGCAACGCCGCGUGAGUGAUGAAGGUCUUCGGAUCGUAAAACUCUGUUAUUAGGGAAGAACAUAUGUGUAAGUAACUGUGCACACCUUGACGGUACCUAAUCAGAAAGCCACGGCUAACUACGUG